rnacentral:rRNA from 1 species
AACGAACGCUGGCGGCGUGCCUAACACAUGCAAGUCGAACGGGAAAACCCGCAAGGGUGAGUACAGUGGCGCACGGGUGCGUAACACGUGGGUAAUCUGCCCAGAAGCCCGGAAUAACUCCCCGAAAGGGGUGCUAAUGCCGGAUGAGACCACGGGGACCGCGGUUCCUGGGGGAAAAGGUGGCCUCUGUAUACAAGCUAUCACUUCUGGAUGAGCCCGCGGCCCAUCAGCUAGUUGGCGGGGUAAUGGCCCACCAAGGCUACGACGGGUAGCUGGUCUGAGAGGACGAUCAGCCACACUGGAACUGAGACACGGUCCAGACUCCUACGGGAGGCAGCAGUGGGGAAUCUUGCGCAAUGGGCGAAAGCCUGACGCAGCAACGCCGCGUGUGUGAUGAAGGUCUUCGGAUCGUAAAGCACUGUCGGGAGGGACGAAUAAGGGCCGGGUGAACAAUCCGGUUCGACGACGGUACCUCCAGAGGAAGCACCGGCUAACUCUGUGCCAGCCGCCGCAGUAACAC